AUUGAACGCUGGCGGCAGGCCUAACACAUGCAAGUCGAGCGGAUGAGGGAAGCUUGCUUCCCGAUUUAGCGGCGGACGGGUGAGUAAUGCCUAGGAAUCUGCCUAUUAGUGGGGGAUAACGUUCCGAAAGGAACGCUAAUACCGCAUACGUCCUACGGGAGAAAGUGGGGGAUCUUCGGACCUCACGCUAAUAGAUGAGCCUAGGUCGGAUUAGCUAGUUGGUGGGGUAACGGCUCACCAAGGCGACGAUCCGUAGCUGGUCUGAGAGGAUGAUCAGCCACACUGGAACUGAGACACGGUCCAGACUCCUACGGGAGGCAGCAGUGGGGAAUAUUGGACAAUGGGCGAAAGCCUGAUCCAGCCAUGCCGCGUGUGUGAAGAAGGUCUUCGGAUUAUAAAGCACUUUAAGUUGGGAGGAAGGGUUGUAAGCUAAUAUCUUGCAGCUUUGACGUUACCAACAGAAUAAGCACCGGCUAACUCUGUGCCAGCAGCCGCGGUAAGAC
rnacentral:rRNA from 1 species